UGCAUGCGCGUUCAUGUGUGUUUACACAUGUAUGCGUGUGCAUAUGUGAUUGCACGUGUGUAUGCGUGUGCGAGCGUUUGCGCAUGCAUGUUUACAUGUGUGUGCUGUGUGCGUGCAUGUGUGUUUACGCGUGCGCUGUGUGUGCACAUGUUUACGUGCGUGUGUUUACAUGUGCACGUGUGUAUGAAUGUGUGUAUGCCUGGGGAGGGCCCCGUGCCAUGUCCAUGACAGAGGGGCUCUGGGCGGAUGCACUGGGCCGAGACCGUGGCAGCCCCUUGGCUGCCUCUCCUGGUCCUGCUUUAGCUGCUUCCAUCCUGAUUCUUUUCCUGGAGGAAAGGUGGAGCCCAAAGUGUCAGAUUCCUUGUGGGCAACAGAGCAGCGCUUUUUAAACAGGUGACACGGCAUCACCAUUCAAACCAACAACAGGGGAUGAUGGUCCUGCCGUGACAUCGGCACAUGGGAGGAGGGUCCAGUAGGGAGGACCUGGCCACUGGGGGGAUCGCAUCCUACCCGCAGGGGCCAGCUUCCUGCCGCAAUCCCGGGGCCAGAGCCAGGCCCAGCCGUGACCACACCCCCUUCCCACCUGGAAGAUCAGGUGACAGGUGACUGUUCUUCUCCGCUCUGGCCUUCCCAGGGGCCUGCAUUCCUCAGCACUGUGUCACCUCCUGGGCCAGGUAGGGUGGCCGCCCUGCUCUGUCUGGGCUGAGUCAGCGCUGGGCCCGCCCUGUGGCCUCCUGUCCCAGCCAGGCAGACUCAGGCGUGAAGACCCGGGGGUUCAGGUGAGCUCUCUGAGAAGGACCAAAGUCUGCGCCCUUGGACUCUGGUGACAGUCUUUAAAGUUUCAGAGGACAUUAGCAUAAAAUGCCGGUGACCUUUCCUGCAAACCUGUCUGAGGGUCGGUGGUCUGUACACGCCUUCUAGGAAGUUGGGGUCCUGGGGGUCCUCCACGUCCCGGCAGCCCCUCCCUCGACGACUGUGUGAAAGCAGCAGGUGCACUGUGUCCCCCCAGAAGGAGCUGACAGUGGCACCACCCCCUCACUCUGAGCUCUGGUCGUCAGCGAGCUGCCCCUCGUCUUUCCGGGGGGCGUCUUCCGGGGUCUCCACGCUGGAUGGCCCAUCCACCACUGUCAACACCCGGCUCAGUGCCCAUGACCGACCACGUCCUUUCCUCGGUCCAUGAGAAGAUGCUGCCUGCUGCCCGGAGGGACGGGGAACCUUCUUUAUUGCUGCGCCUGGGCAGUGCCCUGAUCACACAGAAGCAAAGGCAACGGUAGGAAAGGGAGGGCUGCAAGGACCAGCCUUCCAAAUGGCUACACAAGAAACGUCCCACUGCCCCAGUGUGGCAUCCAGGCCGUGCACUGCCUGGUCACCUGUCCCCAGCCUUCCAGCCCACCUGUCCCCCACCUUCCAACCCACCUGUUACCCCCUUUCCAGCCCACUUGUUACCCCCUUCCAGCCCACCUCUUACCCCCACUUCCAGCCCACCUCUCGCUUCCCUGCACCCUCUCCCGCCCACUCUGCUCCGUUCUGCUCUCUGAAACCCUUCGCACCACAUCUUGGUCACGUCCCUCUUAACCAUCUGAGAUGUUUUCUUAAUAGUCUUUAUUAUUUAGAGCAGUUUUAGAUUCACACCAAAAUUGAAAGGAAGUUGCAGAGAUUUCCCAGGUGCCUCCCACCUCCUGCAUCCCCCCCUGACCACAUUAUCCCCCAGUGUCAACAUCCCCCCUAGGUGGUACAUCUGUUACAAUCCAUUGACAGGUCAUCAUCGCCCAGAUCUGUAGUUUACACUACACGAGGGCUCACUGUCGGUGGUGCACAGUCAGAGUUAAAACACCAUGGCCUGGGACGUGCUUCAGGGCACCUCAGCUGUCAUCUGCGCCAAGUGUCAGCAAGUGUUUGUUAGUUUGACUUUACUCUGUCUGCCCGCACCUUCCCCACACCUCCUGCUGUUUCUCCUUCCACACACAGUGUUGUCACUUGGGCCAUCCAGAUCUUAAUCCCUUCCGUAACCCCAUCGCACUCCGUAGAUGAACUCUCUAGUGUGGUGGCCACUUGCCAUAGGUGCUAUCUCACUCCAAAUAAAUUAAAAUUGAAUUAAAUCAACAAUCUAUCUCCUCAGUGGGACCAGCUGCAUUUCAUGUGGUCAACAGGUAUGCGUGUAACAGCUACCGCAUUGGUCAGACCAUUCACAUCACUGCAGAAACUUCUGUGGGGCAGCUUGCCAUAUAUAUAUAUAUAUAUAUAUAUAUAUAUAUAUAUAUAUAUAUCUUUUUAAAUUUAUUUAUUUUAUUAUUUGUUUAUUUAUUUAUUUUUGGCUGCGUUGGGUCUUCGUUGCUGCAUGUGGGCUUCUUCUAGUUGUAGUGAGCGGGGGCUACUCUUCGUUUUGGUGUGCGAGCUUCUCAUGCGGCGGCUUCUCUUAUGGAGCACGGGCUCUAGGUGUGUGGGCUUCAGUAGUUGCUGCAUGCAGGCUCAGUAGUCGUGGCUCAUGGGCUUAUUUGCUCCGCAGCAUGUAGGAUCUUCCCAGACCAGGGCUCAAACCCAUGUCCCCUGCAUUGGCAGGCGGAUUCUUAACCACUGCACCACCAGGGAAGCCCAGGUUGCCAUAUAUUUAAAGGUUACUAUAUAUCAUGAUCUCUUAAAGGUGGCAGACAGAUCAAAGUUUCCACAUUCACCACCCUAGACAAUGCAUUUUAAUAUAUUCACUUUCCUUUUUAAUGUUACAUAGUUAAUAGAUUGCCUGACAGCAGAAUUUUUCUGGUGAGAGAGUGACCCUUCCAUUUUGGUAGCAUUUUCUUUCUUUCUUUUUUUCCUUCUUCUUGUUUAUCAAACUAAAUGAAGAGUGUUAAAACCUAAACGGUGUUUGUGCAUUAAGUCCAUACUUUAGAGCAGAUGAAAGUUCUCUCCUAAAAAAUGGGAAGACCAACUAGGAGCAGAGGCCAUGGACGGACGCCGGGGCUUCGGGGCUGGAGAGGAAAGUUCAGAUGUGUUUAUUAUCAGUUUGUAAUUAUUUGACUUCUGCUUUCACAGAGAAGUAGAAAGUAGCCCCCUUUUAAAGGAAGACGUAAUUCACUGCAAGCUCUAAACUCUACCAAGCAGAAACAGCUGUGUCCACAUGUUGCUUAAAAAGUAUUUUCUAAGUAGUGACGCUAAAAUUAAACUUUACGUUGGAAAGAAACCCACAGAUGACUGAGGACCCUGGGCUUCCUCCACGCAGAGAUGCCUUUGAUUCUGCGAGAGCCACGAGGUGGGGAAGGGGCUCGCGUUGGCCACGGUGCCAUCGGCCUUCCAGAGGUGGGAGAUCGUGGUGGUCAGUGCAGAGCGAAGGGGAUGGGUCCUCUUACUGGCGGUAUCGCCAGCCUGACAGACCCCCUUACUGCAGGGGAAAGUCAGUAAAUUUCUGAAAACUAGCUAGCACUCUUCUUAUACUUGACAUCUUAAGAGUUAGGAGACUGGGGCCAUUUUUUGUAGUUUUUCUUCAUUAAGAUUAAAGUUACUUUCCUUGGGCUUUUGUACUGGGUUUGCUGCUUGUACGGGGAGGCUGGCUUUAGGGAGCACUGAUCAAACGUGCUCAAAGGAGUGGAUUCUUCGCCCCGUCUGCAAAGUGCUUCCCCAUGUCAUAUGGGAAUAAACAGGUUUCGGUUGAGCAGCAAAGUGGCCAGGACGUGAUAUCAUCUCUCCCUUUCACAUCAGUGGCCCGGCAGCCACUUGUAUUUUCUGUGGUUCUGCAGGGACUUACGAAGACCAGCAGAGCCGGGGUUACGUCACGUGUGGUCACUUAAUGGACGAUAAUUUGUGGGGUUUGCAGGGCAAGGGCUUCACAUGAAGAUUGAAGCCCAGCUUUUUUCUUUUACUUUUUUUUGAAUACCAGUCCAGGGACUUGGUAUUUCCAGACAUACUUAAUCCCGUCUUUUCUAUUCCUGCCCGAUUCACACACAGACGGCACGUUUAGCCUCUGCUGGCAGUAACUCGGCUCCUUUCGGCGUUUCCAGAUAGUCUCAGAGGAGGACAGAGACAGAGGCAUAGAGACCUGGUUUCCCAGGAAAACAGCUAAAACACGGGUUGCCUUGGCUCUUCCAGGUAAGAGUGGAAAUGAUUCCAGGUAUGAAGGUUUCCAGGCAGCUCUCUGAGCCCACAAGCAGGACAGGGAGGUCCCUGACAUGGGAGCCCACCUGUGCUCAGACGUCCAAGGUGGGUGCGGACUGGCUGGGCCACCACCCUCGGGCCUGUGGGAGGAGAGGGUCCUGAGUCGGCCUGUCAUGAUGAGGCAGGAGCCACAUCCGCGACCUGACUGGGGGCAGGUGAGAAGGUGGGGUUUACAAGGGCCAGCCGACACCCUGGUCCACUUGGCCGCUCUCUAGGGACUGCAGCCCGUGUGAGUGGAUGGACAGGAGAAGAGAGCCGUGUGUGCUUAGAAAUGCGCUUACGUCUUCCCGUUUCCUUUAUAACUGGCUUUCUGGACGAAAUCCACCCGCACUGUGGAGGAGAAGCACGGAGGGGGCUCGGGGCCCCUCCCCAAAGGAGGAGACCCAGGUGUGCUUAUUCCCCCCCGGGAUGACACAGGCAGAAGGAGUGGCAGAAGUCCUGCCGACACCAAGAGGCCAGGGUGGGGCUGUCCUUCCCGCCCGCUGCCCCGGCGGAGACACCGUCAGAGCGGUGCUCGCCCGUGCGUGCGCUGUGUCUUCACAGGGCGGAGACCCCUUCCCCACCUAGAGGCACGUGGGACCUCGCAGACCCUCCGACAGGCGCCCAGACCUGGCAGUGCUCUGCAGGUCCCAGCGCAGGAGCUGCCCCGGCACCUGCACACAGCGGGCCGCACAUUCAGCCACAAGCUACCGCUCACCCCGGGACACGUCCCCUCUUUAGGGACAGCGACAGCCGGGCAGCAACUGGGCUGUCUUGCCACAGUGCUUGUUGGCCUGGGACGCGUCCUCUGUCCCAGAAUCCCUGAGGCCCCUCCCGUGCGGGGGCCCCUUCUGCACCCUCAGCCACCCCAGAGGGGUCGGGGCCCCAGUCGCCUCAGGCAGACCAACCAGACCAAACAAAGGCCACAGGGGCUCUGAGCUCAAACUGUCCUUGGAGCCAGAGCCAAGGACCUACUCAGGACCUGCUAGAACGCAGGGCUUGAACAGGACCCAGGGACUCCUAGUGCCAGGGAACAGUCCAAAGUCACCUGUCACACAAGAAACAAGAAAUGCCACAAACCGAGGGAGGAAGGACGACCGACAGAGGCCGACACAGAGCAGAGGCCGACGUAGGGAGCAGCUGAGGAGAGAUUAAAGUUGUCGCCCUGAAAGCGCUUCCUGGGCAAUUUCAAAUCCUUCUGAAACUGAUGAAAGGUAGAAAUGGAAAUUCUAGAAACAAAGAAAGAGAAGUUCUCAGUGGAAAUUAGGAAGCCGAAAAGUGCAAGCAGCAAAAAGCUAAAACCACCCCGAGUGGGCCGAGCAGCAGCACGGAGGCGACAGAGGGUAGAGGAGCCGCCGGACUUCGUGACGGAUCAAUAGUAUUUGCCCAUCUGCUCAGAGGAGCGAAAACAAAUAGAAAAAACGCAGAGAGUCUCGGGAACCAGAGAACACAGCAAAAGGUCCAACAUCCAUAUUAUCCGGGCCCCGGAAGGAGAGGAGGAGAGCGGGGCUGGGAGAGUUGCAAAGCAAUAACGGUGCAAACUUCCCAAAUGUGAAAAGUGAAAGACAUAAACCUACAUUUUCAAAAAGCUGGGAAAACCUGAAAUCGGAGGAAUGCGUGGAAACCAAUGCCGGGACAGAUCACGUUAUCAGUUUAUAUCACGUUAAA